rnacentral:lncRNA from 1 species
AGUUCGAUUCCCCAGUUGGACCUCCUGGGAGUAGAACCAGCCUGGGUGGCCUUGGGCAAGCUGCAGAGAGAACAGAAUGGGGAAACCACUUCUGCAUUUUUUUCUAGCUGGAAAACCAUGAAAUCAGUUGCCAUAAGUCAGAAUUGACGGCACAUGAUUAUUAUUUUUAUCAUCUGCGACGGUGUUGUAGGGUGUGUGCUUUCUGGGACCUCUUGUUUACUUUCUUUCCCUUCUAGUUUUGGGGAAGUGCGUCGACACCCAGUUGGGCGAAUGGAUCUCGCACUCUGAGGUUCAACUUGACGAAGCCCAAUCCCCUCGAUCUUUGGUCCGUCCUAACGGAACUGCCGUGAAGCCAGAGAGAGAUCAAAACUGGACCGGCGAAGCCGCUUCCAAGAGAAACAAGCGCUGCAGAAACGGAUUUCAUCUCCGUACGUCCCGCCGACGGUCAGCUAGGAAGAGGAACAUGUCAUAUCAGAGACACAGUCGUUGCUCCCAGACCAGCCUCAUGUCCCCUAGACUCAUCAAAGCUUCUGAUGUGAGACAGCGGCAAGAAGGUGUUGUGGACAGAAGACAUCCUAACCAGAGAACCAGAAACGGACAGUCUUCUUCCAACACUGAUAUUUGCCCCAACGCCUGUCCAAUAUCAGCGAGUAAAGUCAACAGAAAGCAAAGAAGGAAACCAUCGCAGGUCCACAGACCCUUUUCAACCUUGACCUCUUCUUCUUCCAGUGUGUCAAGCCAGACAGAAGAGAAUAACCUCUCCUAUCAAGAGGAACCCUAUAUUGAAAAGCGGGCCAUCGCUCCCCUUUAUGGGAGAAAGGAGGAGUCUAGUCCACCCAUUGAUGAUACCUGUCCAGUAGGGAAAAUGCACCUCAAAUCUUGGAAAGCCACGAAGGCUCCAGAAAGAUCAGAUGUGGUCCUGGAAAGGGACUCAUCCACCACGGAGGACGCAGGGACAUGUGCAAGGGGUGGCUGUUCAAAAUCCGACCCACGUUCGGUACCUCAAAAGGUGUCCAGUCAACGGAUCGCAACCUCUAAGAAAACCAGAAGAUUCCUUGAUGGCGUCGCUCGGCAGUCUUUCAGGGGUACACCCCACCUUACAGCUCAUGACCCAGCCCUUGCUUUGCCUAGCUCGGAUCGUAACGACGAGCCGUUGCUACGGAGGGAACCCUCGCCUUCGAGAGGAUCGCCAUCCCUUCCGCCUCGCUUUGCAGUCCCCCAUCCUGAGCAGAGGGACGUCGAUCGGGAAUCCACCGAAGAGCAUCUUUCGUCCCUUGCGUUGCCGUUGGGCUCCCCAGCAACGGAGAAGACUGUUAGGAUGCUAUUGAUCCUUAAAAAACAACAUGGAGGAAUGGACAGCGUAGAGACUCAAGGAAUGAAAAUGGUGCUUGAUCCCUCCAGGGUAGGCACCCACAAUCCUCAAAGUAGAAAUAUCAGAAGGUUGGGUGAAGAACAGACGUGUGUAGAAGGAUCUCUAGAAAUGUCUUCCUUUGGCGUUGUCGGCCAGGGCUUUGUGGAUGACAACAAAGACACAGUAAGUUUACACUCUAGUGCCAUGAUAUCAGAUUCCUGCUGCGACUCCUCUGGAGGCCUUCAUUUCAAGAUGGAUGCAAAUAUGUCAGUGCUAGAGAGGACCCAUAGCCAAGCUCCUUGUUCGGACGGUCAACGAGACGUUUAUGAAGAGAUUGACACUACUGUUACAUCGCACUGCACUUUGGUCCAGAAAAUGUGCCAGAUUGACUUUCCCCUGGCAGCUGAAGAGGAGAAAGCGAGCAAGUAG